CUGGUGCUAUUGCGCAGGGGUGGAAUAGCGCGCACACACACACACACACACACACACACACUCACACUCACACACACACACAGAAAACGCAACUUUCAGUGCAGUCAGAUCUUUCCUUCUUAACCUAGUCUACUCCAGUCAAGCCCAGCCCUACGCUGUUAGGUCUGACAAUCUCCAGCCUUUCUCACACAUGUCAUAUACACCUGUUCAAGAUGUACAUUCAGGGAUGCCAAGCUGGGGGAAGAAGAGCCCCAAGUGACAAAGACAGAAAGCAAAGGAUCCUGAGAGCCAGGUAGAGCCUAAGAAAAAAUCCCUGUGAGAUAUCUGCACUGAAGGACAUCACUGGACAGC